rnacentral:rRNA from 1 species
GACGAACGCUGGCGGCGCGCCUAACACAUGCGAGUCGAACGAGCGAGAGAGAGCUUGCUUUCUCGAGCGAGUGGCGAACGGGUGAGUAACGCGUGAGGAACCUGCCUCAAAGAGGGGGACAACAGUUGGAAACGACUGCUAAUACCGCAUAAGCCCACGACCCGGCAUCGGGUAGAGGGAAAAGGAGCAAUCCGCUUUGAGGUGGCCUCGCGUCCGAUUAGCUAGUUGGUGAGGUAACGGCCCACCAAGGCGACGAUCGGUAGCCGGACUGAGAGGUUGAACGGCCACAUUGGGACUGAGACACGGCCCAGACUCCUACGGGAGGCAGCAGUGGGGAAUAUUGCACAAUGGGGGAAACCCUGAUGCAGCGACGCCGCGUGGAGGAAGAAGGUCUUCGGAUUGUAAACUCCUGUUGUGGAGGAAGAUAAUGACGGUACUCAACAAGGAAGUGACGGCUAACUACGUG